rnacentral:lncRNA from 1 species
UUAGACUUUGUUAAUUUCGUCCAGUUAGAAUAUUUACUCGUUUAGUAAGUAGUGCUCAAAGGCAUAUUCACCUAGCAACCAGAUAACUCAUCCAGCAAGAUUAUCAUUGAAACUUAUGGGCUUAAAUUUUCACAAAAGUCAUCCAGCGAGACUUGUCUCACCCAGUUAUUGCCAAGCCAGCAAACUCUUCUUUGACUUUGAUUUUGCUCAACAAGUAUAUUCUCC